AUUGAACGCUGGCGGCAUGCCUUACACAUGCAAGUCGAACGGUAACAGGUCUUCGGAUGCUGACGAGUGGCGAACGGGUGAGUAAUACAUCGGAACGUGCCUAGUAGUGGGGGAUAACUACUCGAAAGAGUGGCUAAUACCGCAUGAGAUCUACGGAUGAAAGCAGGGGAUCGCAAGACCUUGUGCUACUAGAGCGGCUGAUGGCAGAUUAGGUGGUUGGUGGGAUAAAAGCUUACCAAGCCGACGAUCUGCAGCUGGUCUGAGAGGACGAUCAGCCACACUGGGACUGAGACACGGCCCAGACUCCUACGGGAGGCAGCAGUGGGGAAUUUUGGACAAUGGGCGCAAGCCUGAUCCAGCAAUGCCGCGUGCAGGAUGAAGGCCUUCGGGUUGUAAACUGCUUUUGUACGGAACGAAAAGCCCUGGGUUAAUACCCUGGGGUCAUGACGGUACCGUAAGAAUAAGCACCGGCUAACUACGUGCCAGCCGCCGCGGUAAUAC
rnacentral:rRNA from 1 species